UACAGGGGGUGCAAACGUUGCUCGGAAUUAUUGGGCGUAAAGCGCGCGUAGGCGGCUACUUAAGUCGGAUGUGAAAGCCCCUGGCUCAACUGGGGAAGUGCACCCGAAACUGAGUAGCUAGAGUGCAAAAGAGGGUCGCGGAAUUCCCGGUGUAGAGGUGAAAUUCGUAGAUAUCGGGAGGAACACCAGUGGCGAAGGCGACUACCUGGCCUGUUCUUGACGCUGAGGCGCGAAAGCUAGGGGAGCAAACGGG
rnacentral:rRNA from 1 species